CCUACGGGGGGCAGCAGUGGGGAAUAUUGCACAAUGGGGGAAACCCUGAUGCAGCAACGCCGCGUGAGCGAUGAAGGCCUUCGGGUCGUAAAGCUCUGUCCUAAGGGAAGAAUACUGACGGUACCUUAGGAGGAAGCCCCGGCUAACUACGUGCCAGCAGCCGCGGUAAUACGUAGGGGGCUAGCGUUAUCCGGAAUUACUGGGCGUAAAGGGUGCGUAGGCGGCCCUUCAAGUCAGAGGUAAAAGGCUACGGCUCAACCGUAGUAAGCCUUUGAAACUGUAGGGCUUGAGUGCAGGAGAGGAGAGUGGACUUCCCAGUGUUGCGGUGAGAUGCGUAGAUAUUGGGAGGGACGCGUGUUGCGAAGGCGGCUCUCUGGACUGUAACUGAAGCUGGGGAACGAAAGCGUGGGGAGCGAACAAGUUUAGAUACCCGAGUAGUC
rnacentral:rRNA from 1 species